rnacentral:rRNA from 1 species
CCUACGGGAGGCAGCAGUGGGGAAUAUUGCACAAUGGGGGAAACCCUGAUGCAGCGACGCCGCGUGAGUGAAGAAGCGUUUCGGCGCGUAAAGCUCUGUCAGCGGGGAAGAAACACGGUUCGCGAGAGCCGCGGACGGUACCCGACCAAGAAGCCCCGGCUAACUACGUGCCAGCAGCCGCGGUAAUACGUAGGGGGCAAGCGUUAUCCGGAUUUACUGGGUGUAAAGGGAGCGUAGACGGUUAUGUAAGUCUGGAGUGAAAGCCCGGGGCCCAACCCCGGGACUGCUUUGGAAACUGUGUAACUGGAGUACAGGAGGGGCAGGCGGAAUUCCUGGUGUAGCGGUGAAAUGCGUAGAUAUCAGGAGGAACUCCGAUUGCGAAGGCAGCAUACCGGCGCCCAACUGACGCUGAAGCACGAAAGCGUGGGUAUCGAACAGGAUUAGAUACCCCUGUAGUC